rnacentral:rRNA from 1 species
UACGGAGGAUGCGAGCGUUAUCCGGAUUUAUUGGGUUUAAAGGGUGCGUAGGCGGGCUUUUAAGUCAGCGGUAAAAAUUCGGGGCUCAACCCCGUCCGGCCGUUGAAACUGGGGGCCUUGAGUGGGCGAGAAGAAGGCGGAAUGCGUGGUGUAGCGGUGAAAUGCAUAGAUAUCACGCAGAACCCCGAUUGCGAAGGCAGCCUUCCGGCGCCCUACUGACGCUCAGGCACGAAAGCGUGGGUAUCGAACAGG